UAACAUUUUGGAAACUUAAAAUCAUAUUAUUAUCAUCCAUAGGUGUUAGGACUUUUCAUAUGAUUUACUGUAAAAAGAUGAGCUUUCUUUUACUGCAGCUUUAAGGCAUGAGCUGAAGACCAAGGAGACAGUAAAUGCUCUCUCUCUCUCUCUCUCUCUCUCUCUCUCUCUCUCUCUCUCUCUCCCUCUUCCCCAUCAAAGACAUUUCCCUGAUCUGAAGGAUAAAAUGAACGCACAUUUGAAUGGAUAGGUUGAUCUUUCAGGCAAGGGUCGAGGAUGGCUUUUCUGCCUACAAAGUCAAGCUUUCCAAUCUGGCGUGGUCUUGUCAGGACGUAAAGCACUUGCUUUGGGUCACGUUUCGCCAUGCCUUGUCUGCGGUGCGAGAGCCGUGGGCCAGUGGAGAGGACAUGGCUAAUCACCUCCGUCCGCCGACACCGUACAGAAGGGUCACGGCAGGUGUCACGGUCGCCGAGUAUCACUCCGCCAAUCGAUCUAGGGCCAGCGCCAGAGGGAGGAGAGGUCAUCCCAUCAGGGUUAUGCCAGUCAAUACCUCUCACUAUCCGUCUGCGGUUUUCCACUGUCCCGAGGGGUCGGGGGUCAACGCCACUCCUAUUGUUUUCCAGCCAAACACAACACAACAGGCCUGACAAAUGGAGCCCAGAUGACUGCGGCUGACUGAGGCAUUGUCUGUGGGGAUGAAGGUGUCUCUAUUUAUGUCGUGACCUGACUUACGGAGAGAGUAGUGAAGAGCAAUGCACCUCCUUACUACUCCUUAACAACUCAAGGACAGGGAUAAACAUUUAUUAUUCAAAAUAAACAUCAUACCAUUCAUGCAUCAAA